ensembl:lncRNA
GGAACUCCUGAAAGGUAAACUGCUGUGGGAAUAUUUCCACUUCUCUGGAAAAACUAACCCAAAGGACCCCAGCAGGCUCUCCUUCUCCGCCCAAAUAUAGGCUGUAAAUUCAUCUUUAUUCAAAAAGUUUGUUUUUAUUAGCAAGUUUAUUUAGUUUUGUAGCAAGUUCAUGCCAUGUUUAUAAACUGAAACAAUCCUAUUUUUUUAAACACCUGCCCUUUCCCUUUCAGGAAAUGGUGCAGCUUUCCAACUACCUGAAGGAGGCCCUGCACCGUGAGCUGCUGCUCAAGCAGAAGAUGGUGAUUUUACAGGAGCUCCUGUCCACCCUGCUGCAGGCUUCAGAGAAAUCCUGGCAGGUACCAGAGAGCUGCAGGACCCCCCAUCACCUCCCCUGCCUCUCUCCUCAGGAUGGGUGGGACAAACAGCAGAAAAGGCCCUUUGUGUCUUCUAUGAGGAUGCAAAAUUAAGAUUAUCUAUUUUAUGUGAUAUAUGGGGCUUUUUUAUAGAAUCCUUAAAUCAAACGAUUCGUGCUGCUGUGGCAUUUAAAAAAGUGUGGUUUGAAAGUUCUGUUGGGGCAGAGAAGCGAGUGAUUGGGUGAGGGGGGACAAAAACUUGUGUUAGACACAUCCUGUGGUGAGAAACUUCCGCCUUCACUUGCUCCUCUAAUAUAACAUGAGCAGGAAAAAACAGCCAGCCACAGGUGCAGGAAGUGGCCACAAAACCUCAGAAUACCAACAGGUGGGUGCUCCUUGCUGCUCGCUGCCCUGUGCAGGACAGGAGAGACUUUGCUGCUGCCUCUUGCUCGCUGCUGUUCCCCAGCCUAAAAAUCAGCUUUUCAUAGGCCUAAAAAUCAGCUGUUCCUCAGCCUAAAAAUCAGCUUUUCAUCGGCCUAAAAUCAGCUUUUCAUCAGCCUGAUAAUCCUCCCCUGUGCUGGAGCCAACAGGCACAUGCUGCUGCUGAGAGGGGAUUCCGUGAGGCAGGUGGGGCUGGCAAAGGGAUGGAAGGAUGGAUGGAUGGAUGGAUGGAUGGAUGGAUGGAUGGAUGGAUGGAUGGAUGGANGUCUGGCUGUGAGCCCAGCUGCUCAGGACAGGUCUGGCUGUGAACCCAGCUGCUCAGGACAGGUCUGCCGGUGAGCCCAGCUGCUCAGGACAGGUCUGGCUGUGAACCCAGCUGCUCAGGACAGGUCUGGCUGUGAACCCAGCUGCUCGGUGCCCUCUCCACACCCUGGGCCAUCCCUGUGCUGACGCCCUGGCAGCCUGGGGCAGGGCACUCCAGGAGUCUGUAAUGCAG